CUACGGGCUGCUGCAGUGGGGAAUAUUGCACAAUGGAGGAAACUCUGAUGCAGCAACGCCGCGUGGAGGAUGACACUUUUCGGAGCGUAAACUCCUUUUAUAUAGGAAGAAGAUGACGGUACUAUAUGAAUAAGCGCCGGCUAACUCCGUGCCAGCAGCCGCGGUAAUACGGAGGGCGCAAGCUUUACUCGGAAUCACUGGGCGUAAAGAGCGUGUAGGCGGAUUAAAAAGUCAGAAGUGAAAUCCUAUAGCUUAACUAUAGAACUGCUUCUGAAACUCUGAAUCUAGAAUAUGGGAGAGGUAGAUGGAAUUUCUGGUGUAGGGGUAAAAUCCGUAGAGAUCAGAAGGAAUACCGAUUGCGAAGGCGAUCUACUAGAACAUUAUUGACGCUGAGACGCGAAAGCGUGGGGAGCAAACAGGAUUAGAUACCCGUGUAGUC
rnacentral:rRNA from 1 species